rnacentral:rRNA from 1 species
AACGAACGCUGGCGGCAUGCCUAACACAUGCAAGUCGAACGAGACCUCCGGGUCUAGUGGCGCACGGGUGCGUAACGCGUGGGAACCUGCCCUUAGGUUCGGAAUAACUCCCCGAAAGGGGUGCUAAUACCGGAUAAUGUCUUCGGACCAAAGAUUUAUCGCUUUUGGAUGGGCGCGCGUUGGAUUAGCUAGUUGGUAGGGUACAAGCCUACCAAGGCGACGAUCCAUAGCUGGUCUGAGAGGAGGAUCAGCCACACUGGGACUGAGACACGGCCCAGUCUGGUACGGGAGGCAGCAGUGGAGAAUAUUGGACGAUGGGCGAAAGCCUGAUACAGCAAUGCCGGGUGAGUGAUGAAGGCCUUAGGGUUGUAAAUCUGUUUUACCCGGGAUGUUAAUGACAGUACCGGGAGAAUAAGCUCCGGCUAACUCCGUG